rnacentral:lncRNA from 1 species
AAUCGAUUGUCCUGGGAAGUAUUGUGUUCAAUGUGGUGGACUUGGUCACCAGGAGUCAAGCUUGAGAUGUGCUCUCGAGGAAGCUUUGUUUCUCAACAGGUGAUGACCUUCUUCACGAUAUUUCUAUGUCAAGCGGUGCAAUUACUAUUUUCAGCAGGGGAUGCAAGAACGCCGUCUGGCUGCAGUGAUUACUGAACUAUCUAUAUGAAGCAUAUGCUGGGUCACUCAGUUUGUUAUGAAGCAAACCAUCUUUUAUAUUCCUACUCCCUGAAAUUGCAGGACAUUUGUGUUGCCAUCAACUAUGUGCAUUGCCAAGGAACACAACAAUGCAAAGCUACCCCAGCUUAGAGAGGACCAAUGGUAUACCUCAGUCUUGCAUGGACUUGCCAAUCUUUGAAAUGUUCAAGAUUUUGCAAUCUCUAUUGUCAUUGGAUUUCAUGGCUGGUCGACAUGUGUUGCUACGCUUCGGUGACAUAGCGCUCUUCACUUGGAGACUAAAACGGUUGGGAUGUCCAUUCUCAAGCUGCAAAUCCGAAACAUGGAAUCGGAUAUGUAGGACCUGUAGUAUGUACAUGUCACCAACUGGCUGUCUUGCAGCAGGUUGGAGUUGAACAGGUGCUCCAUGGCUGCGCUCUACGAUCUGGUGUUAAUGUCGCAGACAGUGCCUGUGAUUGCAUCAAACUCCAAAGAAUGGCAUGAUAUAUUUUUACGAAAAGACACGGUGUUUGUUCAAGUUGAAGGCAUAAAGCGGGAGGAACUGAAGCAUAAGGAAAUGUUUCGGCAAGCACACGUUGUAAAUCGCACUGCAAACAAGCAGGCGUGGUGAGAGGAUUGGAAGCGAAGAUACAAGCAGUCCUCUGACACAAAUUGAUGAAUUACUAUUAUGAUUGUGUUAGUAUUCCUUAGCGAUCUGCACACUCGAGCAAAACUCAUAAGGUGGUUAUCGAGCAUAAGGUGCGAAGCAAGCCACAGUUCACUCACUUUGCUUGGUAAGUUGUGGCAGGUUUAUGGAGUGCAAGAAUCGACAUAAUCAAAGUGCCAUUAUGCUUUCUUAUUCCUUCCUACAGACAAUGGUUGCACCCCCACUUCGCGCUGCUGCCGAGCUCGUAAGAUAUCUUCGAAUAGGCGCACAUGCUUGAUUCAUAUAAAUGCUACUACAUGCUGACUAUUUUACGUAUCACUUAAAUGCUUCCUGCAACUCCGUAAAUAGCUCCAGAUACUUCUUGAUGAAAUGUUAUUACUUCCACGACCUGUUACUGCGAGUGAUUAAGAGACUCAGCUGUGAUGGUAGGACUUAUCCUGGAAUUCUUUCGUCCACAGAUCAAAGAGGAGCUGAAAGACUACGAUGCAUUACAUGUUCGCAGAGGUGACAAAGUGAAGGUUCAUAAGGCAAAAUCUGGAGCACUUCGCACCAUGUACGCCCACCUGGACAAUGACACUCAACCAGAGGCC